UGUUGUUGUUGUUGUUGUUGUUGUUGUUGUUGUUACCGUUGCCUGCACCAGCAUCGGCACCAUCGUCAGCGGCAGCGUCAUCUCCA